AACGGACGCUGGCGGCAUGCCUAACACAUGCAAGUCGAACGAGACCUUCGGGUCUAGUGGCGCACGGGUGCGUAACGCGUGGGAACCUGCCCUUAGGUUCGGAAUAACUCCCCGAAAGGGGUGCUAAUACCGGAUAAUGUCUUCGGACCAAAGAUUUAUCGCCUUUGGAUGGGCCCGCGUUGGAUUAGCUAGUUGGUAGGGUAAAAGCCUACCAAGGCGACGAUCCAUAGCUGGUCUGAGAGGAUGAUCAGCCACACUGGGACUGAGACACGGCCCAGACUCCUACGGGAGGCAGCAGUGGGGAAUAUUGGACAAUGGGCGAAAGCCUGAUCCAGCAAUGCCGCGUGAGUGAUGAAGGCCUUAGGGUUGUAAAGCUCUUUUACCCGGGAUGAUAAUGACAGUACCGGGAAAAUAAGCUCCGGCUAACUCCGUG
rnacentral:rRNA from 1 species